GGGGUAGCUGCAGCCUGGAGCAAUGGGUGCACCGAAAAGUUGGGGCGUGGCAAAAGGUUUCUCAUUGGUGGAAGGAGUUUUACUUCUGGCCAAUCAGCAGCUAAAUAUACAUUUACGUAAUUUCCUUAGACAAGGUGGCGGCGAUAAGACGUGAGGUAAUUAUUCAUUGUUUAUACGUGUAUCUAUACUUUAUAUACCACAAAUAUGUAUAUUCAGAUAAGUUUGUUACAAUACGAUGAUAUAUUUUUCCUUUGCGUUACAUCUUGCAGCGUUAGUAAUUAGGGCCCGAGCACUGCAGUGCGAGGACCCUAUUGGAAUUGCUCCGUUUAUUAGUUUAUUGUUGUUGACAGACAUAUGUACCAUACCUGUCAAGUUUUGGAUUUGAAAAUAAGGGAAAUUUUCCAGCGCCCAUUGCGAUCAGUCCCACCACCCCAACAAAGCUCCAGUAUCCCUUACAUUUUAAGACAGGUGUUAUAGCCCAAAUUAAAACACAAAAGGGUAUAUAUGAAGAGCAUUUAUUUAAAGGCUUAUUUGCAUAUUUUCUGUUAAUUUAACAUUGCUUGUCUUUACAUUUACAUUUUAUUUUAAUUCCACACAUUCUUUUCAUUUCAUAUUGCUUUUCUUUAACCGUUUUUCUUUUCAUUUCACAUAACUUUUCUUUUACUCUUUUAGUGAGUUGUUGUACCAAUUUGUUGCAGACUUUGCAUUCUUUAAAAAAGUAAAUUCGCUGUCCCAUUUAUCGCGGUAUUUACACAUGGGUUUUGGUUUUUUGGCAGGUGUGCCUUCACUCUCUAUUGUAGCAUCCAUCAUCCUUCUCUGUUUUUUCUUUUGUUGUUGUUGUUUUUCCCACGUUAUAACUCAUGUCAUCUGACCUCACACACCCCUCGCGACAGGCUACUACAGGUGGGAGUUAUCGCGAGACUAGUGACAGAGCUCAGAUUGGGAAUGUUUUUAUUAUUAUUAUUUUAUUAAUAACGCAGGUAAAAAAAAAAAUAAUAAUAAUAAAAAUACGGGAGACUUACGGGAAAAUACUAAUACGGGAGGACGGCGGGAAAGAAGGGUAAAAUACGUGACUUUCCCGGCCAAAACGGGAUACUUGACAGGUAUGAUAUGUACAGUGAGACAAAACGAUGACCGCACUGACGGCGAAUCCUUCAGAGAUGAUUGUUUAUAUCUGCGUCCUUUUUGUACAAGAGAGUACAGAAUACAUCGUGUAAGUAUAAUAAUUAUUACCACCUCUAUUGCAACUGUAUGAAGAUCAAUUCACAAUCUGGAGACGAUUAGACAAAAAAAAAAAAAAACUCUAACUUGGAGUUUGUUUCUACCUUUCUGCCAGGUCUCCAACUAAUGCAGAGUAUAUUCAAGCUGCCAACACACUGGUUGUGAAGAACCCUUUCCAGAGAAAUAUAGAAAGAGAUGAUUGUGAAACUUGUGUUGGGGAGGAUUCAGUGUCUGUUGAGACACAUGUGAAUGUGUUAUAAAGUGAGUAUCAGAAAACACAUCCAGACACAUGGACUGUCAAAGACCACACGACAGGAACAUUCUCCCGGAGACGCUGAGAAAGCACAGAAGGAAUGUCUGUGGAGGAUGUACUCAAAAAAUACACAUACUUAAGGACACCUGCUGGAGGGACCCGGCUACACCUUUCCUACCAUACACCUGAUGGAUACUGACUGUAAAAUGGCAAUCGUAGUUCGGGGGAUCAGUGUGGUGACAGAAGAUGGAACAUUCUGCUGUAUUCUGCUUUCAACAUUGCAUAUCCACUACACCUGAGAAAGACACUGACUUUCCUUCAGAGGGACAUUGUCAACAUUAGAAGACGAGACAAGCUCUGUCAGUAACUUUACUUGUAUUUCUUGUAUUAGAUCCUCAUGCCUUGACUGUACCAUUGCCCAAAGUGCACUCGAAGGACAUUCACUCUUUUGAAGUUAAUCCAACAUGUUGAAGUGGUACAUGCACAUUAACCAAAUAGCUUGCUCUAUAGUUUUUCUAUUCUAUCUGUUUUCUUUUUAUUUAUUAUAUUAUUUAAAAGCCCUUGCUAUGUGUACUGUGUUAAGCUAACUGAGACUUGUUACUGCUCUUAUAUAUCAUUGCUCUUUUUGUUGUUUUUGAUUGCUUCAACUCUGUCCUCAUUUGUAAGUCGAUUUGAAUAAAAGCGUCUGCUAAAUGAAUAAAUGUAAAUGUAAAUAUUAGUAUAACCUGUGGUAUAGAUGAGUGCCAGUCAACUUUUUUAUAUUCCAUUCUUUUAGAAACCAUUCACAGGAAGCAUAUGUACUUUUGGUCCUGAAGAGUCAGUAGUACAGUUGUAUUAUAAUAUAAUGGAGAAGGGUCUGGCUGCAGACGUGCACUCUCAGACACUUGUGCUUCGUUUUUUAUUGGAUAUUUUAUUCUACUUAUUGGUUAAUUAUUUUUUGAAUCUCUCAACAUUUGUUUUUCUCUUGUGUAGGUAUGGUUUACUGGAAGUCUGUCAGUCCAGAUGUGAGGAAGACACACAGAGUGGAGCUGGAGCUCAGCAGAUGUGUGAUGCUGUAGAUACUGUGGUCUUCACAGCUUUCUAUUCAGACAAAGAAAACAGAAGUUUGCUGGAUUCUGUUCUAUGGACUGCUACUACAGAAUGAAUGAAUGAAUUAAAGAAUGAGUGGUUUAUCUAUCUAUCAUCUAUCUAUCUAUCUAUCUAUCUAUCUUUAUCUAUCUAUCAUUUUACUUGAAUUGGUGACUGAAAUUGAAAGCUAAAUAAAUGUUUUAGUGGAUAAAGCUGUGUCUGUUUGCUUAAUUGGUUAAUGUCACUUAAAACAAGGUUACUAAAC